rnacentral:rRNA from 1 species
GACGAACGCUGGCGGCGUGCUUAACACAUGCAAGUCGAACGGAAAGGCCCUGCUUUUGUGGGGUGCUCGAGUGGCGAACGGGUGAGUAACACGUGCGUAACCUGCCCUUGACUUUGGGAUAACUUCAGGAAACUGGGGCUAAUACCGGAUAGGAGCUCCUGCUGCAUGGUGGGGGUUGGAAAGUUUCGGCGGUGGGGGGGGGACUCGCGGCUUCUCAGCGUGUUGGUGGGGUAGUGGCUCACCACGGCUUCGACGGGUCGCCGGCCCGAGAGGGCGCCCGGCGACAGUGGGACUGAGAUACGGCCCAGACGCCUACGGGAGGCAGCAGUGGGGAAUAUUGCACAAUGGGCGGAAGCCUGAUGCAGCAACGCCGCGUGCGGGAUGACGGCCUUCGGGUUGUAAACCGCUUUCGCCUGUGACGAAGCGUGAGUGACGGUAAUGGGUAAAGAAGCACCGGCUAACUACGUG